AUUAAGGUCCUCUGGAUUGUAAACUUCUUUUAUAUGGGACGAAAAAAGGUCUUUCUAGAUCACUUGACGGUACCAUAUGAAUAAGCACCGGCUAACUCCGUGCCAGCAGCCGCGGUAAUACGGAGGGUGCAAGCGUUAUCCGGAUUCACUGGGUUUAAAGGGUGCGUAGGCGGGCAGGUAAGUCAGUGGUGAAAUCCUGGAGCUCAACUCCAGAACUGCCAUUGAUACUAUCUAUCUUGAAUAUUGUGGAGGUAAGCGGAAUAUGUCAUGUAGCGGUGAAAUGCUUAGAUAUGACAUAGAACACCCAUUGCGAAGGCAGCAGGCUACACAUAUAUUGACGC
rnacentral:rRNA from 1 species